GAUGAACGCUGGCGGCGUGCUUAACACAUGCAAGUCGAACGGAACUACUCCAAUGAGAGUCUUCGGAAAGGAUUUGGUUUAGUUUAGUGGCGGACGGGUGAGUAACGCGUGGGUAACCUGCCCUAUACAGGGGGAUAACAGUUGGAAACGACUGUUAAUACCGCAUAAGCGCACAGGAGCGCAUGCUCCGGUGUGAAAAACUCCGGUGGUAUAGGAUGGACCCGCGUCUGAUUAGCUGGUUGGCGGGGUAACGGCCCACCAAGGCGACGAUCAGUAGCCGGCGUGAGAGGGUGAACGGCCACAUUGGGACUGAGACACGGCCCAAACUCCUACGGGAGGCAGCAGUGGGGAAUAUUGCACAAUGGGGGAAACCCUGAUGCAGCGACGCCGCGUGAGCGAAGAAGUAUCUCGGUAUGUAAAGCUCUAUCAGCAGGGAAGAAAAUGACGGUACCUGACUAAGAAGCCCCGGCUAACUACGUG
rnacentral:rRNA from 1 species